rnacentral:rRNA from 1 species
AGCGCGGUGGUCCCACCUGACCCCAUGCCGAACUCAGAAGUGAAACGCCGUAGCGCCGAUGGUAGUGUGGGGUCUCCCCAUGCGAGAGUAGGGAACUGCCAGGCA